CCUACGGGAGGCAGCAGUGGGGAAUUUUGGACAAUGGGGGCAACCCUGAUCCAGCCAUGCCGCGUGAGUGAAGAAGGCCUUCGGGUUGUAAAGCUCUUUCGGUGGGAACGAAACGGUUACAGCUAAUACCUGUGACUACUGACGGUACCUACAGAAGAAGCACCGGCUAACUACGUGCCAGCAGCCGCGGUAAU
rnacentral:rRNA from 1 species